rfam:Triticum aestivum genome assembly, contig: Triticum_aestivum_CS42_TGACv1_scaffold_272623_3DS
GAAAUACUCCCUCCGGUCGGAAAUACUUGUCAGAGAAAUGGAUGUAUCUAGAUGUAUUUUAAUUCUAGAUACAUCCAUUUUUAUCCAUUUCUUCGACAAGUAUUACCGAACGAAGGGAGUAUGAU